GAUGAACGCUGGCGGCGUGCUUAACACAUGCAAGUCGUACGGUAAGGCCCUUUCGGGGGUACACGAGUGGCGAACGGGUGAGUAACACGUGAGUAACCUGCCCACAACUUUGGGAUAACGCUAGGAAACUGGUGCUAAUACUGGAUAUGUGCUCCUGCUGCAUGGUGGGGGUUGGAAAGCUCCGGCGGUUGUGGAUGGACUCGCGGCCUAUCUGCUUGUUGGUGGGGUAAUGGGCUACCAAGGCGGCGACGGGUAGCCGGCCUGAGAGGGUGACCGGCCACAUUGGGACUUAGAUACGGCCCAGACUCCUACUGGAGGCAGCAGUGGGGAAUAUUGCACAAGCGGCGCAAGCCUGAUGCAGCAACGCCGCGGGCGGGAUGACGGCCUUCGGGUUGUAAACCGCAUUCAUCAGGGACGAAGCUUUUUGUGACGGUACCUGCAGAAAAAGCACCGGCUAACUACGUG
rnacentral:rRNA from 1 species